GAAGCGUCUGGGAAGGCGUACCGGAGUGGGUGAGAGUCCUGUAACUGUAAGCGUGGCACUGGUGUGGGGUUGCCCCGAGUAGCGUGGGACUCGUGGAAUUUCGCGUGAAUCUGGCGGGACCACCCGUCAAGCCUAAAUACUCCUUGGUGACCGAUAGUGGAUGAGUACCGUGAGGGAAGGGUGAAAAGUACCCCGGGAGGGGAGUGAAAGAGUUCCUGAAACCGGUCGCAUGCAAGCCGUCAGAGCCUGUGUGGUGAUGGCGUGCCUUUUGAAGAAUGAGCCUGCGAGUUAGUGAUGCGUGGCGAGGUUAACCUGUGGUGGGGGAGUCGUAG
rnacentral:rRNA from 1 species